UUGAAUGGGCGGACUCUGGCCUCGGCUAGAGUUCAGUCUACCCACCCUUGUGAAACGUAGCGUUGCUUGGCGGAUGCGCCGCGAGGUGGCCGCCAAGGGUUUCCGGUGCUCCGGCGCUGGAGACCAACCAACCAACCUGUCUAAUUGCAGCCUGAAACUAAGAAAUCUAAUGCAAAA
rnacentral:misc_RNA from 1 species